rnacentral:misc_RNA from 1 species
GAUGAAGAACGUAGCGAAAUGCGAUAAGUAGUGUGAAUUGCAGAAUUCAGUGAAUCAUCGAAUCUUUGAACGCACAUUGCGCCCCUUGGUAUUCCAUGGGGCAUGCCUGUUCGAGCGUCAUUUGUACCUUCAAGCUCUGCUUGGUGUUGGGUGUUUGUCUCGCCUCUGCGUGUAGACUCGCCUCAAAACAAUUGGCAGCCGGCGUAUUGAUUUCGGAGCGCAGUACAUCUCGCGCUUUGCACUCAUAACGACGACGUCCAAAAGUACAUUUUUACACUCUUGACCUCUGAUCAGGUAGGGAUACCCGCUGAACUUAAGCAUAUCAAUAAGCGGAGGA